UACGUAGGGACCAAGCGUUGUCCGGAUUUAUUGGGCGUAAAGAGCGUGUAGGCGGCCGUACAGGUCAGCUGUGAAAACUCGAGGCUCAACCUCGAGACGUCGGUUGAAACCGUACGGCUAGAGUCCGGAAGAGGAGAGUGGAAUUCCCGGUGUAGCGGUGAAAUGCGUUGAGAUCGUAAGGAAGACCAGUGGCGAAGGCGGGUCUCUGGACAGUUCCUGACGCUGAGGCACGGAAGGCCAGGGAGCAAACCGGG
rnacentral:rRNA from 1 species